rnacentral:tRNA from 1 species
CAUGAUGUCUGAGUUUAUUUAUCCUUAGACCAUGGUCCUGUCACCUUAGGUCGAUCGGUACCUCAGAUUGAUUGCCAUUUGAUCAACAUUUGGCUUUUAAUUUUAGUUCCUAAACUUGUCUAGGUCACACCCCGCAAGGGUUUUCUCCUGGGCCAUUAGCUCAGGUGGUUAGAGCGCACCCCUGAUAAGGGUGAGGUCCCUGGUUCAAGUCCAGGAUGGCCCAUUCGGUGUUGGGGGUAUAGCUCAGUUGGUAGAGCGCCUGCUUUGCAAGCAGGAUGUCAGCGGUUCGAGUCCGCUUACCUCCACUGAUCACCUCCUACAACGACCCAAUAGAGAUCACUCAAAUUGAUGUGACUUAGUUUUGUCCUCUGAAAUGAACCUAGCUUCCUAUCCUUUUCAGCUUUAUUAAAGAAGAAAAUGACAGGACGCUGGGCUCACUGAACCUCUAAAGAGUUUCAGAGAACUCCAGCAGAACCUUGACAACUGCAUAGAUAAGUCUGGAAAAGAUAAAGCAUCUCAUGGAUGCACUUUUCUUUAAGGGAAAGUGUUAAUUCUUGAGCAAGAGCUAAGAAUCUAUAGUGUUCUUUUGAUUUGAGUAAUUCCUCUAUAUCAAGAGUUUGAUUAGA